GCUGGGCAUGGUGGCGGGUGCCUGUAGUCCCAGCUACUCUGGAGGCUGAGGCAGGAGAAUCGCUUAAACCCAGGAGAAGGAGGCUGCAGUGAGUGAGCCAAGAUCAUGCCACUGCACUCCAGCCUGGGUGACAGAGCGAGAUUCUGUCUCAA
rnacentral:sRNA from 1 species